rnacentral:rRNA from 1 species
UCGGGAAUUUUGGGGCAAUGGAGGGAACUCUGACCCAGCCAUGCCGCGUGCAGGAUGAAGGCGUUAUGCGUUGUAAACUGCUUUUAUAUAGGAAGAAAUAGUCCUUGCGAGGAAAGUUGACGGUACUAUAUGAAUAAGCACCGGCUAACUCCGUGCCAGCAGCCGCGGUAAUACGGAGGGUGCAAGCGUUGUCCGGAUUUAUUGGGUUUAAAGGGUGCGUAGGCGGUUUAUUAAGUCAGUGGUGAAAGACGGUCGCUCAACGAUUGCAGUGCCAUUGAUACUGGUAGACUUGAGUAUGAUUGAGGUAGCUGGAAUGGAUAGUGUAGCGGUGAAAUGCAUAGAUAUUAUCCAGAACACCAAUUGCGUAGGCAAGUUACUAAGUCAUAACUGACGCUGAGGCACGAAAGUGUGGGUAUCAAACAGGAUUAGAUACCCGUGUAGUCCCUGAGCGGGCUGGCAAGGCGCAU